rnacentral:rRNA from 1 species
AGCAGCCGCGGUAAUUCCAGCUCCAAUAGCGUAUAUUAAAGUUGUUGCAGUUAAAAAGCUCGUAGUUGAAUUUCGGGGUUAGUAGGUUGGUCGUGCCUUUGGUAUGUACUGGUCUCACUGAUUCCUCCUUCUUGAAGAACUGUAAUGUCAUUAAUUUGGUGUUGCAGGGAAACAGGACUGUUACUUUGAAAAAAUUAGAGUGUUUAAAGCAGGCUAACGCCUGAAUACAUUAGCAUGGAAUAAUGAAAUAGGACGUUUGAUCCUAUUUUGUGGUUUCUAGGAUUGACGUAAUGAUUAAUAGGGAUAGUUGGGGGCAUUAGUACUCAAUUGUCAGAGGUGAAAUUCUUGGAUUUAUUGAAGACUGACUACUGCGAAAGCAUUUGCCAAGGAUGUUUUCAUUAAUCAAGAACGAAAGUUAGGGAUCGAAGACGAUCAGAUACCGUGUAGUCUUAACCAUAAACUAUGCCGACUAGGGAUCGGAUGAUGUUAAUUUUUAUGUACUCAUUCGGCGCCUUACGGG